rnacentral:rRNA from 1 species
GACGAACGCUGGCGGCGUGCCUAAUACAUGCAAGUAGAACGCUGAAGGAGGAGCUUGCUCUUCUGGAUGAGUUGCGAACGGGUGAGUAACGCGUAGGUAACCUGCCUGGUAGCGGGGGAUAACUAUUGGAAACGAUAGCUAAUACCGCAUAAGAGUAGAUGUUGCAUGACAUUUGCUUAAAAGGUGCAAUUGCAUCACUACCAGAUGGACCUGCGUUGUAUUAGCUAGUUGGUGGGGUAACGGCUCACCAAGGCGACGAUACAUAGCCGACCUGAGAGGGUGAUCGGCCAAAAUGGGAAUGAGACACGGCCCAGACUCCUACGGGAGGCAGCAGUAGGGAAUCUUCGGCAAUGGACGGAAGUCUGACCGAGCAACGCCGCGUGAGUGAAGAAGGUUUUCGGAUCGUAAAGCUCUGUUGUAAGAGAAGAACGAGUGUGAGAGUGGAAAGUUCACACUGUGACGGUAUCUUACCAGAAAGGGACGGCUAACUACGUG